UUUUUUUUUUGCUGUUUUACAUCCAUGCAGGCAAAAUACAGAUAUUUAUUCUCAGUAAUGCAUUCAUGCCUUAAUUGGUAAUGCAGUUACCAUACUGGUAAAUUUUUUAUUUUAUUUUUAUUUGUUUUAUAUCCCUGUAGGAAACAACUUGAAAGUGAGCUGAAAGAGGAGCAUGUACGACGAUCCAGUCUACAGAGAAGAGCGCAGGGGGGGACAUACACUGUGAAUACACAUGCAGAAGUGAAGACCUACCAGAAGCAGAUGGCUGAGUUAACAAAAAUGUUGCAGAUAGCCAAAGAAGAACAUCAGAGGUUAAAACAGGCUACUUCAUAUCCAGAUGAUUGCUUUCCCAACAGGUCAUCUGCUCAUUAUGAAGAGAGGCCAGAAUAAAUAAAAUAUCCAUGGAAGAAAGUUUUAACAGGCCUUUCCCAGAAAGAACCUCUUCAAUAUUUCAUGUUUUUUAUAAUAUGUUUUAACAUGGCAAGUGAAACACAACUGUUCAUGGCUAUCCCAAAGGGCAAAGAGAGAUGACACUUCCAGAGAAAGUGCUGAUGUACGGCUCGUUCUACUCCAGCACUCUAACAUGUUAACUAAUAAUGAUAUCUAUCUGCCAAGUAUAAAAUGAUGUUCAGAAGAUAUAAGAGAAAGCAACUGCACGUGGAAGUGAGAGAUGUAGAUUCUGUGGUGCUGUACCUUCCUUGUUUCAAGAAUGUUUUUUGUGUAGUUUUAACAGAGUUGGGACAGUUUGAUUUUUUUCUCUGUAAAAGUUCCUUGGUGGAACAGUAUUUUAGGAGAAGGGUGCUGUACCUGCAGUAUAUCUUAAAUACAAUCUCACAAUCCUUAAGAAAACUUAACUUCAUGAAAAUGCACUUUCACGAAAUACAAAUAAACCAGAAAAAAAAACCACAACACAAACCACGUUUAUGCAGGCGGGCAAGCUGCGCACCCCCCCCACACACACACCCUCGCUACUUUUAUAUUCUCACUCCAAAAUUGCGCUACAGUGGGGAAAAGGGAAAACUCCCUUAUCCCCGCUGUGCCACAAUCUAAGCAACAGCCCCCACUGUUGUUUGCUUAGUUGCCUUUUCACGAAAGUGCAUUUUCAUGAAAAUGCACUUUCACAAAAAGGAGUUUGCUUGUUUACGUUUCGUUGAAAUGUAAUUUUGAUGGGUCGAGGUAGACCCUCACAAACACACGUAUAGAUAGAUAUGUAGACCUAACUAUUUAUCUAUCUAUAGAUUUGUAUAUUUGUGUAUGUCUAUAUAUACACACACAAACAUGCGUGCACACACAGACACAUACAC